UACGGGGGGGGCAAGCGUUGUUCGGAAUUACUGGGCGUAAAGGGCUCGUAGGUGGCCAACUAAGUCGGACGUGAAAUCCCUCAGCUUAACUGGGGAACUGCGUCCGAUACUGGAUGGCUUGAGUUUGGGAGAGGGAUGCGGAAUUCCAGGUGUAGCGGUGAAAUGCGUAGAUAUCUGGAGGAACACCGGUGGCGAAGGCGGGUCUCUGGGCCGAUACUGACGCUGAGGAGCGAAAGCGUGGGGAGCGAACAGG
rnacentral:rRNA from 1 species